rnacentral:rRNA from 1 species
ACUCAAAUGAAUUGACGGGGGCCCGCACAAGCGGUGGAGUAUGUGGUUUAAUUCGAAGCAACGCGAAGAACCUUACCAAGUCUUGACAUACCGUGCAAAGCCCUGGAGACAGGGAAAUAGUUAUGGCGGAUACAGGUGGUGCAUGGUUGUCGUCAGCUCGUGUCGUGAGAUGUUGGGUUAAGUCCCGCAACGAGCGCAACCCUUAUCUUUAGUUACCAUCAUUCAGUUGGGGACUCUAGAGAGACUGCCGGUGACAAACCGGAGGAAGGUGGGGAUGACGUCAAAUCAUCAUGCCCCUUAUGACUUGGGCUACACACGUACUACAAUGGCGUAUACAGAGAGAAGCGAAGUGGCGACAUGGAGCAAACCUCACAAAGUACGUCUCAGUUCAGAUUGAAGUCUGCAACUCGACUUCAUGAAGGCGGAAUCGCUAGUAAUCGCGGAUCAGCAUGCCGCGGUGAAUACGUUCUCGGGCCUUGUACACACCGCCCGU